UACGUAGGGUGCAAGCGUUGUCCGGAAUUAUUGGGCGUAAAGAGCUCGUAGGCGGCUUGUCACGUCGACUGUGAAAACCCGGGGCUCAACCCCGGGCCUGCAGCCGAUACGGGCAGACUAGAGUUCGGCAGGGGAGACUGGAAUUCCUGGUGUAGCGGUGAAAUUCGUAGAUAUCGGGUAGAACACCAGUGGCGAAGGCGGCUAUCUGGACGACAACUGACGCUGAGACGCGAAAGCGUGGGGAGCAAACAGG
rnacentral:rRNA from 1 species